GGAGGGGUGGCCGAGCGGUAAGGCAACGGAUUGCUAAUCCGUGACCAUCAUAAUAGUGGUCGCAGGGUUCGACUCCCUGUCCCUCCGCCA
rnacentral:tRNA from 1 species